rnacentral:misc_RNA from 1 species
CCCAAAGAAAAUAACCGGUGUGUCGAGGGGAGCUUACGUUGCCUCCACGCCGUACACGCGCACACCCAAGCACCACGAAUUGAACCACUCCACUGCCGUUUUCAGCUCUUCCUCCUCUCCCUUUACUGUCUGCGCACACACACGCACGCACGAACACAUUGCCUCCGUCGCCUUCCCUGCAUCCCUCUGCCUCUCCGCGUGUGUCUGAGCGUACAGCCUGUUCGUCUCUAGUCCGUCACCCGCGGUCAAGCUGCUUGGUUGUGUGGCCGUGGAUUUUUUUUUCGUUUUUUUCCUCGUCUACUAGCGCCGGUUAAUUGUUGGUUGGCGAUUUCCAGCCGUGCGGCAAGAACUGCACGCCACACCCUUACACACACAUACACACACGCCUGUUAUGUCCUGUAGCCUCAGCACCUUUCCUACGACGAGGCAGGCGUGCCCCAUCGCCCCUGUGUCUGCGCUGCGUGCGGCAGUGGAGCGGCUACAGCAGCCCGACGCCACGGCAGCUGGCGCUGUGGACACGCGGCGGCCCAACUACCUCCUCGAUGUUCCUGUCAGCGCCAUCGACGUCGAUCGCUGGGAGAAGCGGUGGCAGGAAGCGAUGAGUGCGGUCUCCUCGUCCUUGCCUUCUCUGGGCGUGGGCACCAAGGGACAGCUUCACUUCCAGCACGCCUCAAUGGCGUACGCAGCGCUCAUGACCGCCGAUGAAGCGUCAGCCCCGACGAACGCGCCGUCGUCGCGGCACCUGGCACCGCUGCCACCGUUUGUGUUCGCCACCGUCAAGACGCUGCCAAUGACGCAGCUGCUGAAGAUGCGCCGACAGUGGCUGCCGCACCGCCAGCGGUUUGCCGUGCACCAGCAGCGCAUGGGCUUUCUUGACGCCGUGUUGAGCCACGCUGUCGUGGCCCUCGUCGGCCCGGCUGGCAGCGGCCGCACGCUGCAAGUGCCCAUCGUGCUCUCGGAGACGGAGGUGCUGAAGCGGCGGCGGCUCAUCGUUGUGAGUGCGAAUGCAGCGGCGGCGCGGCUGACGACGCUGCGCCUGCGCGAGGAGCGGGGCGAGGACGUGCAGCACUCCCGCACCGUCGCCGCAGCCGUGCCCAACCACAACGAAACCACCGAGAGCACCAGCGUCGUAGUCACCACCGCCGAGGUGAUGCUGCGGCAGCUCCUGUGCGACCCCUGCCUCGAGGACGUCGGAUGUGUCGUCUUCGACGACGCCCAUCUGCGCAACGAAUCGACGGAGUUGUGCCUCUCGCUGCUGCGCGAUCUUUUGGCGGUGCACCAGCAGUGGGAACACCAGCGUGGCGCGCCGGCCAGAUCGGCAGUUGCCUCAUCAUCGAAUGGGUCGGCCGCCGGCCCCGAUGCAGACACAGCACAGGGCCCCGAUGCGGCGCGGAGGCGCAGGCUGCACAUCGUGUUGAACUGCCCUGAUGAGGCCUGUGCGACGACGCUACUGUCCUUCCUCGCGCCAUCGCGGUGCACGGCGACCACCUUCGUCUUGCAGACGGCCCCGACGCUGGUGACGGCGAAUACCACGUUGUACUUGGAGGAGGCCGUGCAGUGGCUGCUCAAAACCGAGAAGGAGGGGAGCUGCCUUAUCAGCGAUAGCGCUGCGAUGGAGGCGACUCUGGUCUCGUACGCCGAAAACGUGGAUGCUGUUGCGCGCAUCAUGGCCGCCGGCGACGCAGACUUUGCUCACCCGGCCGCCUUUCGGCGCUACUGGUUGCCGCUCAUUCAGCAAUGCGUCGAUGAGUUUGACAAGGCGGACCGCGGCGUGGCUGGUGCAACCGCUGCGCAAGGCCGGUCGCCGCUCUCGGCGAUCGUACUCGUGGCACCCAACAACCACUACGUCCACGUCAUCGCCAAUGCUGUGCGGGAGGCGCAGCGAACGUCGGCAGAGCGCGAUGCAGCGGCGUCGCGGGUGUGCACCGCCCUCGCUGAGGAUUCACCGUUUUCGUCGUUCCUGACGGUCGCGCAGCGCACGGCCGUGAGAGACGCCUGUCAGCGCUGGAUCAUUGUCGCGACGAGCGAACUUAGUCAGUCGGUGCUGCCCUCCGGCUUGGAUGUCGGGCUCGUCGUCGACUGUGCGCGCAACGGCUACACGACGGUGGACACGACUACCAUGGCGGACACCGUGGUCAUCGAGUACAGCACCAUCGCACAGCUGCGCCAUCGCCGCAAGCUAGCCAAGAUGACGGCGACGGCGUCCCCUGCUGCUGGCGGCGACGGCAGCACGCCCGCUUCGCCAGUGGUUAUUCAGUUGAUCCCUAAGUCUAUCCUGCACGGAGCGCACCACCGCCGCCUUAGUGCGGACCCCGCCCAACACAUCAUUUUCCGCCUCCCCUUCAGCCGCUACGUGCAGGUGUAUCAGGUGUUGCAGGCACGGGAAGAGGCGGCGCUGUCGCAGCGCGCGGCCUUCUCGCUCUCCGCUGCCGGAGGCGCCAACUUGAGCAGUGCGGUUGGUGGUGGACCCUCGAUAGCGAGCAAGGUGUCCACCGUCCUUGCGUCGCAGCUCAUUGGCGUGCCUGCUGCGACGGCGACGCGUUACGAGGCGGUGCGUCGCAUCAUGGCUUCGGUGGAGUCGUACCUGCGCGCCGCCGGGCACCUCGCCGUCGACCACACCGCUGGCUCCCCGGCGAUGGGUCAACUCGUGCUGCAGCCCAUGGCCGUGCUUUCCCUGUGUUUGCCUGUGCCUCUGCAGGUGGGGCGACUUCUUAUCGUUGGCAGCCUGCUUCGCUCUUCUCUGGCAGCCGUCACGGCGGUGGGGGCGUUGUGGUGCUGCAGCGAUCUGCUGUCGUUGCAGGGUGCCGGAGCUGUGCGCGUGGCGGACGCGUCGGAUGCCGCACGCGAAGCUGCGGAGGAGCAGGCGGCGCUCUUGACGGAGGCGCGGCUAUUCUUUUCGCGCGACUCGCUCAGCGAUGUCGUCAGCGCCUUCCACGUGUAUCAGAUGUGGUGCUCCACGAAGGCCAACCCAGAGGCGGAGCGCGAUUUCUUGGCGGAGUGCGGCGUUGCAGGCGAGGUUCUGCAGGCAGUCUUCGACACUCAGGUGCAACUCUGCAUGCUCAUGCGAACCUAUGGGCUGCUGCUGCAACCCGGCGAAGGAGGCGAGAGGGGUCGCGCCGGCGCUGGGGAGUCGGAGGCAGAGAGGACUCUACGGGUGUGCGUGGAAUCGGUGCAGCAGAGCACGUCCGAGAGCGUGGCGCAGGUGUCGAGUGCGCUUGGUGGUGCGAUGGCGGCCCUGCCGCCGGAGGUGGCCACGAGUCGCGCCCUGCACGCGUGCGUCACGGCCGCGCUGUACCCAAGCUGUGUGGUGCCGACCGGCGAGGAGGGGAUCGGCCUCGUUUAUGAUGGCGUUUCCACCUCUAGCAUCGGCGGCGCCGGUGGUGGCGGUGAGUCCUCGGGUAGCGGCUCUCCGGCAGCUGGCACAGGUCGCCGUGUGGCGAGUUUCAGCAGCGACUGUGUUCUUGCUGAUGCGGUGCAGUGCGCCAAGGCGGCCGGCAGGCCGUUUCUCUUUCUCGCCAAGUCGAUCGCCGACGUGGCGGCGCGCGAGGCAGCCGUCAUGGGCGCGUCGUCUACCGUAGCCGCCACCGUCGUGGAGCAGGUCGACCCUUUGCAUGAGGCAGCGGCGGUGGUCUUCUGCGGCCACUUCCACGAGCGUCCGCGCAAAGCACCGACGCGUUGCCGCGGGUGGUCGUCGGUGCUGACGAGUCGGUGGCGCGAAACUCGACGCGCGCGCGCGUUGCCGCCGGUUUCACAGCUGCCACCGACGUGCAUCUCGGUGCAGUCGUACGACACAGUGCACUGCAACCACGUUAUCUGCACCAUGGACCAGAACCUUUCCCUCACAAUGCGGUCAACGUCAGCGAAGUGGCUGCAGCAGCUCCGCACCCACGUCGGCGCCUAUCUCGCCGCACUGGCGUGUGGGGUCGCCACAUCUAACAGUAACGGGUCACUGAAGGAGGCGUCGUCCGCGGUGGCGGCUGAGCUGGCGGAAGCGUGGGAGUGGUGGGAGCGUCGUCAUGAGCAGGGCCGCGAUUGGCUGCGCGAGGAGCGGUUGGUCGUGGCACAUCAGCAGCAGCAAACGGAGGCGGCGGCGGCUGGCUACGACAAGCAGGAGCAGGCGGCGUCGGCGGCCAAGGUCGCUGCGCUGCGGCAGCGUCUCUUCGGCUACUACGAGUGGCAGAUUCGGCCGGGCACCCCGGCCGCCGUCGUCGUUCCAUCGAAUGCGGAGCGGCAGGCGUUUGCCAAGAGCGCAGCCGCGGCAGCUGCGAAGGGGAGUGGCGAGGUCGACAAUGGUGACGCAGGCGCCGCUGCAGAGGACGACGACCCCAUCGCGGAGGGCGCUGGUGGGGUGCAGGCCACGUACUCGGGCAAGGUGCCGCCGGCUGACAUUGACCACAUCUUCCGUCUCUGCGUCAAGAGUGUGGCCGCCAAGGGCACGCGCGAGGCCGAGGCGCAGCUGCUUCGCGACAACCCAGACAUGUUCGGUUUCCUCAACCCCGAAGACGAGUUCCAUGAGUACUACCUGUACUUGCUUCGGCAAGCGGCGCCGGACAUGGAGGUGCUCGGCGACAACCUGGAGGAACUCAUCGCCUUCCUUGAAGACCUUGAAGCAGAGCUGCGCGGGGAGCUGGGGCUGCCGCACCCGAACGCGGCGGCACAGGAGGACGCCGGGGGAGUCCUGGGCAGGCACGGGAACGGCGAAGACGGCGCCUACGGCGCCAGUGCAGCCGGCAUUUGGGGCGGCGACAUGAGUGCUGAUGCGAAUGGGCAGUGGAACUCCGGCCCGUUUGGCGGCGGCUACGCAGUGCACGACGUUCCAGUCGGUGAGGGUGACGUGGACGGCUACGGUGACGGCGACAGCGGUGGGUUGCAGCUCGAGUCUGCCGCGAUCAACCUCAAAAAGAGCGCUGGUCCAACAUUGGCGGAGAAGAUCGAGGAGGCAAAGCGAGCGCAAGCGAACGCAGCCUCUACGACGGGCAAGUCGGCCGAUGUGGCACCCCCUAUGAUGAUCGGUACCCCUGCAGCGCCGGUGCAGAUGAGCGUGCCCGCGGCGCCGUCGCCAGCGAGCGUCAAUACGCCGUUUGUGUCUACCAACGCAGGUGAGACGCUCGCAGACAAGCUUCGGGCAAUGCAGAUGGCCGCCAUGGGCGGAUCUGCAGGCAAUACCAGCGAUCUCGCGCCGCUGCAGUUUUCGGCGCAGCCGAACGCCGAUCCGACGAGCGUGCAGCCCGAGUCUGCGGCACCGUGUGGCGUGCUGCCACCGCCACCUACGGCAGCCGACUUGCUCGCCGUCAUCAACGGCGGCGACAGCGCGGAUGUGGCACCGCCACAGGCGUCCCUUGACCUCGACUUUCAGCAAGCUCCGCCAACAGCAGAGGAGCUCCUGGACUUGCUGGGGCCGGCGCUCCCCACUGCGGCACCCGAUGACCCCUUCGCAGCUGGCAGCAGUCUCGGUAGCAGCCGGGCUAGUGCUACGCUGCCCUCUGCGGCGAUGGCGGCGAUGAUGAUGGGGAUGCCAACCACACCUCUGCAUCGGCCGCCCCCGGCCAUCCCUGCCAAAGCAGUCGAGGAGCGUCCGCCGUCCGUGCUGGUGUACCCGGUGCCGGACAUACGGAAGUAUGGGAACGUGCGCCUGCUUCUGGCCAAGAGCCUCAGCGAGUCGCUCAACAUGCGCGUUGGUCCGACCACGAUCGUCGGUCACGUGGCACGCAUUGAUGUCCCCAACCGCAAUGUGGAGGCGCGUGCGCUGGCGCUGAAGAAAUUCACAUGCGGUGACACCAAGAUCACGGUGCACCUGUUCAAGAACGACCGCAUCAUAGACGACCCAGAGCGCGAGGAGCGCGAGCGCCGCAAGCGACGCGAGGAGCUGCGGCAGCAAGAAGCGGAGCUGCACCUGGAGCGGCGCCGUCGCACCGGGGCUGCUGCAGGUGGCGACACGCAGGCCCGUGCUAAGGCUUCUCGGCGCGCCGGUAACGUUGGGGCCGCCCUCACCGGAAGCGCAGGCAUCGACCCGACGAGUCCAGACGCUUUCAACGACCCGAGCGCGUACAGCGCUGAUGCUCCUGUGCUGUCAGCGAAGGUCGACGUGGCGAAGGCAGCGCCAAUGAGGAUCGGCGUCCUCUCCUCUUCGGAGGAUGACGAUGAUGCGAGCAGCAGCGCCGAUUCGUCGUCGUCUUCCUCUUCAGAGUAGCCGACUCCGUGGCAAAACUCGUUUCAUGCGCCACUGAAGUGCGGAGCGGGGUGACCGAUGCGUGGCUAAGAAAGCAGAUAACGAUGGUGUGCCGCAUCGAAAUGAAGUUGGCGAGAGGCGAGCAGGGAAGAGCGCCACUGGAGGGGGGAGAGAUGAUCUUCGCGCCUCGCAUGGCGUGCACGCGUGCGUGCGUGCGUGUGUGUGUGUGCGUGCAUGUGCGUAUCAUCGUGGGGUAUAACUUAAGCACGUCCAUUCAUAGACGCAUGCCCAACCGAAGCCGGCAGUGCAUAAGGUGAGGGUGCAAGUGCGUGUGCGUGGACCUUCGCACGCGAGCCGGGCUCAGGGCAAACGAAGAACGGAAGACAGCGACGGCCGGCGUUGGACUGGUAAGCGGCGCACACACCUACACACAUACACACAAGCACAAAC